GAUGAACGCUAGCGGCAGGCUUAAUACAUGCAAGGCGAAGGGGCAGCAAUGUCACUGUCGUACGGGUGCGUAACGCGUAUGCAACCUACCUAUCACUGGGGGAUAGCCCGGGGAAACCCGGAUUAAUACCGCAUAAAACAGGGGCACCGCAUGGUGAUAUUUGUUAAAGAUUUAUUGGUGAUAGAUGGGCAUGCGUUCGAUUAGCUAGUUGGCGGGGUAGCGGCCCACCAAGGCGACGAUCGAUAGGGGAGCUGAGAGGUUGAUCCCCCACACGGGCACUGAGAUACGGGCCCGACUCCUACGGGAGGCAGCAGUAGGGAAUAUUGGGCAAUGGAUGCAAGUCUGACCCAGCCAUGCCGCGUGCCGGAUGAAGGCCCUCAGGGUUGUAAACGGCUUUUAUUCGGGAAGAAGAGCAGGGAUGCGUCCUUGUGUGACGGUACCGAAUGAAUAAGCACCGGCUAACUCCGUGCCAGCCGCCGCCGUAACAC
rnacentral:rRNA from 1 species